CAACGAGAUGGUAUCCCACUACUUCCCUAUCAUGUUGGAUGUAAAGCUGCGCCUUUAUGGAAUGGUGGACAUAAGACUACUGGGGAAGGUCUACCCAGUGUGGACGGCGAGGUAGUAGUCCACACCGACACCUACACAGUGCAACUUCGUCGGAGGGUGGAAUUACAAGCGAAGGUGGAAGACUUAAAAAGGAUUACGUGGAUUUAUACCGGACUCAUUUAGGAAGUUGUAUAAUGAACUCCAUGCCUGGCUAUUUUCUUGAAUGGUCGGCCCUGGACUUCAGUAUGACAAGCGCGUGUUCAACGAGAUGGUAUCCCACUACUUCCCUAUCAUGUUGGAUGUAAAGACUACUGGGGAAGGUCUACCCAGUGUGGACGGCGAGGUAGUAGUCCACACCGACACCUACACAGUGCAACUUCGUCGGAGGGUGGAAUUACAAGCGAAGGUGGAAGACUUAAAAAGGAUUACGUGGAUUUAUACCGGACUCAUUUAGGAAGUUGUAUAAUGAACUCCAUGCCUGGCUAUUUUCUUGAAUGGUCGGCCCUGGACUUCAGUAUGACAAGCGCGUGUUCAACGAGAUGGUAUCCCACUACUUCCCUAUCAUGUUGGAUGUAAAGCUGCGCCUUUAUGGAAUGGUGGACAUAAGACUACUGGGGAAGGUCUACCCAGUGUGGACGGCGAGGUAGUAGUCCACACCGACACCUACACAGUGCAACUUCGUCGGAGGGUGGAAUUACAAGCGAAGGUGGAAGACUUAAAAAGGAUUACGUGGAUUUAUACCGGACUCAUUUAGGAAGUUGUAUAAUGAACUCCAUGCCUGGCUAUUUUCUUGAAUGGUCGGCCCUGGACUUCAGUAUGACAAGCGCGUGUUCAACGAGAUGGUAUCCCACUACUUCCCUAUCAUGUUGGAUGUAAAGCUGCGCCUUUAUGGAAUGGUGGACAUAAGACUACUGGGGAAGGUCUACCCAGUGUGGACGGCGAGGUAGUAGUCCACACCGACACCUACACAGUGCAACUUCGUCGGAGGGUGGAAUUACAAGCGAAGGUGGAAGACUUAAAAAGGAUUAAGUGAAUUUAUACCGGACUCAUUUAGGAAGUUGUAUAAUGAACUCCAUGCCUGACUAUUUUCCUGAAAGUGAUUUUGAGGGGGACUGCAGCUCCUAAAACAUAACAAUGGCGCAUAGGGCCAAAAUAGCAUAAAUCACAUCACGGGGAUUUUCUUUCUUUAAAAAAAGGAAGAGGCCGAUCCCGUUGUAGCUUUAUUUUGCCUGUUUACAAUUGCCCGAUAAAACGUAUAACAGUCACGUGAUUUGAACCUGCGCUAUGUCUAUUCAUACCCAAAGUUCGACGUCUCCGUUGUGAUAAACUUGCCAAAGUCAAAAUUGACAAAAAGCAAAUUGGCGUUUGAAAUAUUCCUUUCCAAUUAUCCGUCAUCAAUAAUAUAUUUUGAACAAAGAAAAGUUUAUGAUCACUUUUCAAUAAUAUUUUAAACCUGAUAUGACUACUUACCAGAUAUAGAUCAGUAUCCCAUAUGGAUUUAUGUAGUAUUAAUAAUCUUGUUAUUACACAAAUGUUUAAAGUACCGAUAAUGUUUUGAUUUUUUAAAUAAAAAUAUGUAACUUUCAUUGCUAUUUAGUGUGUAUUUUUAAUGGAUUAGUAUUUAGUAACGUUAAUUAAUCAUUUUUUUUAAGCUGCGCCUUUAUGGAAUGGUGGACAUAAGACUACUGGGGAAGGUCUACCCAGUGUGGACGGCGAGGUAGUAGUCCACACCGACACCUACACAGUGCAACUUCGUCGGAGGGUGGAAUUACAAGCGAAGGUGGAAGACUUAAAAAGGAUUACGUGGAUUUAUACCGGACUCAUUUAGGAAGUUGUAUAAUGAACUCCAUGCCUGGCUAUUUUCUUGAAUGGUCGGCCCUGGACUUCAGUAUGACAAGCGCGUGUUCAACGAGAUGGUAUCCCACUACUUCCCUAUCAUGUUGGAUGUAAAGCUGCGCCUUUAUGGAAUGGUGGACAUAAGACUACUGGGGAAGGUCUACCCAGUGUGGACGGCGAGGUAGUAGUCCACACCGACACCUACACAGUGCAACUUCGUCGGAGGGUGGAAUUACAAGCGAAGGUGGAAGACUUAAAAAGGAUUACGUGGAUUUAUACCGGACUCAUUUAGGAAGUUGUAUAAUGAACUCCAUGCCUGGCUAUUUUCUUGAAUGGUCGGCCCUGGACUUCAGUAUGACAAGCGCGUGUUCAACGAGAUGGUAUCCCACUACUUCCCUAUCAUGUUGGAUGUAAAGACUACUGGGGAAGGUCUACCCAGUGUGGACGGCGAGGUAGUAGUCCACACCGACACCUACACAGUGCAACUUCGUCGGAGGGUGGAAUUACAAGCGAAGGUGGAAGACUUAAAAAGGAUUACGUGGAUUUAUACCGGACUCAUUUAGGAAGUUGUAUAAUGAACUCCAUGCCUGGCUAUUUUCUUGAAUGGUCGGCCCUGGACUUCAGUAUGACAAGCGCGUGUUCAACGAGAUGGUAUCCCACUACUUCCCUAUCAUGUUGGAUGUAAAGCUGCGCCUUUAUGGAAUGGUGGACAUAAGACUACUGGGGAAGGUCUACCCAGUGUGGACGGCGAGGUAGUAGUCCACACCGACACCUACACAGUGCAACUUCGUCGGAGGGUGGAAUUACAAGCGAAGGUGGAAGACUUAAAAAGGAUUAAGUGAAUUUAUACCGGACUCAUUUAGGAAGUUGUAUAAUGAACUCCAUGCCUGACUAUUUUCCUGAAAGUGAUUUUGAGGGGGACUGCAGCUCCUAAAACAUAACAAUGGCGCAUAGGGCCAAAAUAGCAUAAAUCACAUCACGGGGAUUUUCUUUCUUUAAAAAAAGGAAGAGGCCGAUCCCGUUGUAGCUUUAUUUUGCCUGUUUACAAUUGCCCGAUAAAACGUAUAACAGUCACGUGAUUUGAACCUGCGCUAUGUCUAUUCAUACCCAAAGUUCGACGUCUCCGUUGUGAUAAACUUGCCAAAGUCAAAAUUGACAAAAAGCAAAUUGGCGUUUGAAAUAUUCCUUUCCAAUUAUCCGUCAUCAAUAAUAUAUUUUGAACAAAGAAAAGUUUAUGAUCACUUUUCAAUAAUAUUUUAAACCUGAUAUGACUACUUACCAGAUAUAGAUCAGUAUCCCAUAUGGAUUUAUGUAGUAUUAAUAAUCUUGUUAUUACACAAAUGUUUAAAGUACCGAUAAUGUUUUGAUUUUUUAAAUAAAAAUAUGUAACUUUCAUUGCUAUUUAGUGUGUAUUUUUAAUGGAUUAGUAUUUAGUAACGUUAAUUAAUCAUUUUUUUUAUGCUGCGCCUUUAUGGAAUGGUGGACAUAAGACUACUGGGGAAGGUCUACCCAGUGUGGACGGCGAGGUAGUAGUCCACACCGACACCUACACAGUGCAACUUCGUCGGAGGGUGGAAUUACAAGCGAAGGUGGAAGACUUAAAAAGGAUUACGUGGAUUUAUACCGGACUCAUUUAGGAAGUUGUAUAAUGAACUCCAUGCCUGGCUAUUUUCUUGAAUGGUCGGCCCUGGACUUCAGUAUGACAAGCGCGUGUUCAACGAGAUGGUAUCCCACUACUUCCCUAUCAUGUUGGAUGUAAAGACUACUGGGGAAGGUCUACCCAGUGUGGACGGCGAGGUAGUAGUCCACACCGACACCUACACAGUGCAACUUCGUCGGAGGGUGGAAUUACAAGCGAAGGUGGAAGACUUAAAAAGGAUUACGUGGAUUUAUACCGGACUCAUUUAGGAAGUUGUAUAAUGAACUCCAUGCCUGGCUAUUUUCUUGAAUGGUCGGCCCUGGACUUCAGUAUGACAAGCGCGUGUUCAACGAGAUGGUAUCCCACUACUUCCCUAUCAUGUUGGAUGUAAAGGUUGGUUUUAUCUCUGAUAUAGACAGUUAAUGUGGCUAAGAAUAAUAUACCGCAACUCUUUAAGUAUAAGGAUAAUCGUCACAAAGAUCUGGAGAGACGAAAAAAUACCAAAAUCAUUCAAAUGUGCUACCUCCUUCUUUUAAUAUUAAAAAUCAUUGAAUUUAGCAUGUGACGUCAGAGUGUUCUUUCUCUGUACAAGAUCGCCCAAGUUAUCACUUUCUAUUACAUGGGUGGCCAGACACUAACUGCGGCAAUGGAGACUGAUGGUAUUUGGGCUUAGAGGGUGUGCGUGAUGAGUGAAUGUUUUUUUUCGUGUAUACCUGUUUUCACAUUUUGUUUUUAAUCGCGUUGAUUAUUGUAUUUAUAUUAAUAGCUAACCAGGAAAGGCAACGUAGUUUAAUGCAUUUCUACUUUGUUGUAAUUGUAAUUGUUAAAUAAGAACCAUAAGUGAGCUUAAAAUCUAAAAAAACGCCUUAUUUAUCUAUUUAUCCUAGCAACGAUGGACACCAUUUGUAGAAAAAUGAAUUACGAAAACGACUAGUGUUGUUUACAUAUUUGUAUUUCCACCUUGUAAUUCCACCUCGUCGGAGGGUGGAAUUACAAGCGAAGGUGGAAGACUAAAAAAGGAUUACGUGGAUUUAUACCGGACUCAUUUAGGAAGUUGUAUAAUGAACUCCAUGCCUGGCUAUUUUCCUGAAAGUGAUUUUGAGGGGGACUGCAGCUCCUAAAACAUAACAAUGGCGCAUAGGGCCAAAAUAGCAUACAUCACAUCACAGGGAUUUUCUAUCUUUAAAAAAAGGAAGAGGCCGAUCCCGUUGUAGCUUUAUUUUGCCUGUUUACAAUUGCCCGAUAAAACGUAUAACAGUCACAUGAUUUGAACCUGCGCUAUGUCUAUUCAUACCCAAAGUUCGACGUCUCCGUUGUGAUAAACUUGCCAAAGUCAAAAUUGACAAUAAGCAAAUUGACGUUUGAAAUAUUCUUUUCCAAUUAUCCGUCAUCAAUAAUACAUUUUGAACAAAGAAAAGUUUAUGAUCAUAUUUCAAUAAUAUUUUAAACCUGAUAUGACUACUUACCAAUUAUAGAUCAGUAUCCCAUAUGGAUUUAUGUAGUAUUAAUGUUCUAGUUAUUACACAAAUGUUUAAAGUACCGAUAAUGUUUUGAUUUUUUAAAUAAAAAUAUGUAACUUUCAUUGCUAUUUAGUGUGUAUUUUUAAUGGAUUAGUAUUUAGUAACGUUAAUUAAUCAUUUUUUUACGCUGCGCCUUUAUGGAAUGGUGGACAUAAGACUACUGGGGAAGGUCUACCCAGUGUGGACGGCGAGGUAGUAGUCCACACCGACACCUACACAGUGCAACUUCGUCGGAGGGUGGAAUUACAAGCGAAGGUGGAAGACUUAAAAAGGAUUACGUGGAUUUAUACCGGACUCAUUUAGGAAGUUGUAUAAUGAACUCCAUGCCUGGCUAUUUUCUUGAAUGGUCGGCCCUGGACUUCAGUAUGACAAGCGCGUGUUCAACGAGAUGGUAUCCCACUACUUCCCUAUCAUGUUGGAUGUAAAGGUUGGUUUUAUCUCUGAUAUAGACAGUUAAUGUGGCUAAGAAUAAUAUACCGCAACUCUUUAAGUAUAAGGAUAAUCGUCACAAAGAUCUGGAGAGACGAAAAAAUACCAAAAUCAUUCAAAUGUGCUACCUCCUUCUUUUAAUAUUAAAAAUCAUUGAAUUUAGCAUGUGACGUCAGAGUGUUCUUUCUCUGUACAAGAUCGCCCAAGUUAUCACUUUCUAUUACAUGGGUGGCCAGACACUAACUGCGGCAAUGGAGACUGAUGGUAUUUGGGCUUAGAGGGUGUGCGUGAUGAGUGAAUGUUUUUUUUCGUGUAUACCUGUUUUCACAUUUUGUUUUUAAUCGCGUUGAUUAUUGUAUUUAUAUUAAUAGCUAACCAGGAAAGGCAACGUAGUUUAAUGCAUUUCUACUUUGUUGUAAUUGUAAUUGUUAAAUAAGAACCAUAAGUGAGCUUAAAAUCUAAAAAAACGCCUUAUUUAUCUAUUUAUCCUAGCAACGAUGGACACCAUUUGUAGAAAAAUGAAUUACGAAAACGACUAGUGUUGUUUACAUAUUUGUAUUUCCACCUUGUAAUUCCACCUCGUCGGAGGGUGGAAUUACAAGCGAAGGUGGAAGACUAAAAAAGGAUUACGUGGAUUUAUACCGGACUCAUUUAGGAAGUUGUAUAAUGAACUCCAUGCCUGGCUAUUUUCCUGAAAGUGAUUUUGAGGGGGACUGCAGCUCCUAAAACAUAACAAUGGCGCAUAGGGCCAAAAUAGCAUACAUCACAUCACAGGGAUUUUCUAUCUUUAAAAAAAGGAAGAGGCCGAUCCCGUUGUAGCUUUAUUUUGCCUGUUUACAAUUGCCCGAUAAAACGUAUAACAGUCACAUGAUUUGAACCUGCGCUAUGUCUAUUCAUACCCAAAGUUCGACGUCUCCGUUGUGAUAAACUUGCCAAAGUCAAAAUUGACAAUAAGCAAAUUGACGUUUGAAAUAUUCUUUUCCAAUUAUCCGUCAUCAAUAAUAUAUUUUGAACAAAGAAAAGUUUAUGAUCAUAUUUCAAUAAUAUUUUAAACCUGAUAUGACUACUUACCUGUUAUAGAUCAGUAUCCCAUAUGGAUUUAUGUAGUAUUAAUGUUCUAGUUAUUACAUAAAUGUUUAAAGUACCGAUAAUGUUUUGAUUUUUUAAAUAAAAAUAUGUAACUUUCAUUGCUAUUUAGUGUGUAUUUUUAAUGGAUUAGUAUUUAGUAACGUUAAUUAAUCAUUUUUUUACGCUGCGCCUUUAUGGAAUGGUGGACAUAAGACUACUGGGGAAGGUCUACCCAGUGUGGACGGCGAGGUAGUAGUCCACACCGACACCUACACAGUGCAACUUCGUCGGAGGGUGGAAUUACAAGCGAAGGUGGAAGACUUAAAAAGGAUUACGUGAAUUUAUACCGGACUCAUUUAGGAAGUUGUAUAAUGAACUCCAUGCCUGACUAUUUUCCUGAAAGUGAUUUUGAGGGGGACUGCAGCUCCUAAAACAUAACAAUGGCGCAUAGGGCCAAAAUAGCAUAAAUCACAUCACGGGGAUUUUCUUUCUUUAAAAAAAGGAAGAGGCCGAUCCCGUUGUAGCUUUAUUUUGCCUGUUUACAAUUGCCCGAUAAAACGUAUAACAGUCACGUGAUUUGAACCUGCGCUAUGUCUAUUCAUACCCAAAGUUCGACGUCUCCGUUGUGAUAAACUUGCCAAAGUCAAAAUUGACAAAAAGCAAAUUGACGUUUGAAAUAUUGCUUUCCAAUUAUCCGUCAUCAAUAAUACAUUUUGAACAAAGAAAAGUUUAUGAUCAUAUGUCAAUAAUAUUUUAAACCUGAUAUGACUACU